AGCAGUAGCCGCGGGAAUACGGAGGGGGCUAGCGUUGUUCGGAAUUACUGGGCGUAAAGCGCACGUAGGCGGCUUUGUAAGUUAGAGGUGAAAGCCCGGAGCUCAACUCCGGAAUUGCCUUUAAGACUGCAGAGCUAGCAGGUGAGAGAGGUGAGUGGAAUUCCGAGUGUAGAGGUGAAAUUCGUAGAUAUUCGGAAGAACACCAGUGGCGAAGGCGGCUCACUGGCUCAUACUGGACGCUGAGGUGCGAAAGCGUGGGGAGCAAACAGGAUUAGAGACCCCGGUAGUCCCUGUCUCUUAUAC
rnacentral:rRNA from 1 species